UACGUAGGGCGCAAGCGUUAUCCGGAAUUAUUGGGCGUAAAGAGCUCGUAGGCGGUUUGUCGCGUCUGCCGUGAAAGUCCGGGGCUUAACUCCGGAUCUGCGGUGGGUACGGGCAGACUUGAGUGAUGUAGGGGAGACUGGAAUUCCUGGUGUAGCGGUGAAAUGCGCAGAUAUCAGGAGGAACACCGAUGGCGAAGGCAGGUCUCUGGGCAUUAACUGACGCUGAGGAGCGAAAGCGUGGGGAGCAAACAGG
rnacentral:rRNA from 1 species